UAUGGAAAAUUCAUCAAAUCAUCGAAUCAUCUCAUAUUCCAACUUCAAAAACUAUCAGGAAACUUUCCCCUCGGAAAUAAAAUGUUUACCAAAACGCAAUUCAAAAUCUUCUUAGCGAUUAUCACAAUUCUUGUGGUAACCGCUCUCGCAACGGAAGAUGUCAUGACUCAAGAUGCCGAAACUCUGCUUGAGCGAGAGGCCAAGUGGCUCCCACCCGGUAUUUGGAUUCCAUUGCCAGGACUCAACCCAACCAAUGGCACCAAUUCGACCGGAUAACACGAUUAGAUUCAACGGGAAACAAAUUAUUUAUUGCACACUUAUUUAUUUAUUUCAUACAAUUUUAAUAAAAGUUUUUGGCCAAAUA